rnacentral:tRNA from 1 species
GGCCCUGUAGCUUAGCUUGGCUGGAGCGCCGGUCUUAUAAGCCGGAGGUCGCGAGUUCAAAUCUCACCAGGGCCA